rnacentral:rRNA from 1 species
AGAGUUUGAUCCUGGCUCAGAUUGANCGGUGGNGNNNGGCNUAACACACNNAAGUAGAGGGGUAGCACAAAAAGCUUGUUUUUGGGUGACGAGCGGCGGACGGGUGAGUAAUGUCUGGGAAACUGCCUGAUGGAGGGGGAUAACUACUGGAAACGGUAGCUAAUACCGCAUAACGUCGCAAGACCAAAGAGGGGGACCUUCGGGCCUCUUGCCAUCAGAUGUGCCCAGAUGGGAUUAGCUAGUAGGUGGGGUAAUGGCUCACCUAGGCGACGAUCCCUAGCUGGUCUGAGAGGAUGACCAGCCACACUGGAACUGAGACACGGUCCCAGACUCCCUACGGGAGGCAGCAGUGGGGAAUAUUGCACAAUGGGCGCAAGCCUGAUGCAGCCAUGCCGCGUGUAUGAAGAAGGCCUUCGGGUUGUAAAGUACUUUCAGCGAGGAGGAAGGCAUUGUGGUUAAUAACCACAGUGAUUGACGUUACUCGCAGAAGAAGCACCGUGCUA